UGCCACUCGUCUACAAUUUUU
rnacentral:piRNA from 1 species